GUGCCAGCAGCCGCGGUAAUACGUAGGUUCCGAGCGUUGUCCGGAUUUAUUGGGCGUAAAGCGAGCGCAGGCGGUUAGAUAAGUCUGAAGUUAAAGGCUGUGGCUUAACCAUAGUACGCUUUGGAAACUGUUUAACUUGAGUGCAAGAGGGGAGAGUGGAAUUCCAUGUGUAGCGGUGAAAUGCGUAGAUAUAUGGAGGAACACCGGUGGCGAAAGCGGCUCUCUGGCUUGUAACUGACGCUGAGGCUCGAAAGCGUGGGGAGCAAAC
rnacentral:rRNA from 1 species